rnacentral:lncRNA from 1 species
GGGAAAAUGUGGGUUGAGAUUUUGUAUAAAUAUUACAAAUUUUAAAGUUGUCGAGUUUAUCUUGUUUGUUUUGGGAUCAAUCAAUGUCUCCUGACCCAUUUCCAGUUUCUAUGUAUUGGUGCCGAGGUCCAUUGCUAAUUGCAAUGGAAUAUAUACUAAGAUUUUAUCGUUAUAAUUUCAUGAUUAGGUUGUUGCGGGAGAACUUAGCAAAUCUUGCCAUGGGCAGCAGCAGAAACAAAAUUGCUUUUGGAUAGGGGAAAGAUGCAUUGUUCGUUUCAAGCUCCAUGCUGCAUGCUUUCUUAUUUAUCAAUGUAAUUAGUUUAGGACAAUUCGUUAUUGAAUUUAUUAGACCCUCUUUGUUAGAGGUUUCUUUUUGGUUUAUCUGUAACUAAAUUCCAUCAGACACAAACAAUUCCAUUAAAUGGAUCCAUUUUGAAUAUGUACAAAUCAUUUUAUUAAAUUGGACAUCUCCUUUUUUUUUCCCACUACGCUAAUACGUCGUUUAUGCAUUAAACUAAGGAACUAGGGUAAGUAAGGUCAUGGGAUCGAAAAGAAAUCAUGUAUCCAUGGCAUCAUACAUUUAACAUCUAAUAUAUUAGUAUUUCUGCAAAUUUUAAAUCCUCUCAUUAUAUGUGUAACGACAUUUCUUUUUCUAAAACAAGAAAUAAUUCGGUUACCGGAUUAUCUUGUUACAUUUUUCCCACAAUUUUCUGUUGUUAAUCGAUACAUAUAACUCCAAUAUUAAUUUCUAUUUGAAAUUACUUAUUAGCAAUUCCAACUACUAUUUACAUAAUUUUAAUGCUUCUAUGUGCAUUCAUGUUUUGUACUCCACCGCGCAUAGCGCGGUUUAUCCCUCCUAGUUGGGAGCCUAACCUUCAUGGUAGUUUGUUGACCACUAUGCACCUUUUGUUGCGCCCCAUUUUUUAAAAGAAAUAAUAAAAGUGUUUAUGAAUUUGUUGAUUAAUUUUGAGAAAAAUGUAUUUUUUAAUGAAAAAAUGAAUAAAGAAAUGAUUUUUCAUUUAAUUUUGAUUAAAAAAUAA